rnacentral:sRNA from 1 species
AGUGCCUCAGUUGCUGGUAAGGUGUAGCUGUUCUGUCCCAGUCCCCGUAGCUCUGCACCGAGCAGAAGAGGUCUAGGGUCACGCAGGGGCCAUGGCUGAGGCACUCGGGCUUGGUUCUGGCAGGCGGAGCGGACGGGGCUGAGAGCGGGGCCCUACGGGCGUAAGCGAGGUUACCCUACGCGAGUGGCGUAAAGCGGGUUUGUAAAUGCCGCCUGCCGGCUUGGGCCCGAACGCCUCCAGGAAGUCUCCUCUAGGUGGGGGCGGGAGGGGAAGGGCGAGGUUGGCCCCUGGUGCCCCGGGAGAGGGGACAGGGCGGAUGUGCUUGGGGUGGGGUCCUUUGAAGGUGUGGCUUCGGACCGAGAGGUGAGGCUGCUGUUUUCCCCCUGCUUUGUAAGUAAGAGAAAGGGAGGAGGAAGGAAAGGGUGCUUGGGAGUCGGCUCUUGGGGGUGACUCGGGUUAUGCCCUUUGAGGGAAGAGGAGCACUGGAAGAAGGAAGGAGACAAAUGUUGGGGUCUACGGAUUCAGAUCCAGUUUAAUGAUGUGGCCCUCUAAGGAGAUAAUUUUGCCUUAAACAGAAAGACUUGACCCUCUUAGGUGUCAUACCUAAGAUCAGUGUGUUUUUUGUGUCCAAUUCUUUUAUCACCAAAAAAGAGAAGAAAUAUUGCAGUGAAUGAAGAUUCCUCUGCAUUUUAGCACUGCUUUUUCAACUGUAGUUGGCUUUUGAAUGAGGAUGACAAUGGAAGAGAUGAAGAAUGAAGCUGAGACCACAUCCAUGGUUUCUAUGCCCCUCUAUGCAGUCAUGUAUCCUGUGUUUAAUGAGCUAGAACGAGUAAAUCUGUCUGCAGCUCAGACACUGAGAGCCGCUUUCAUUAAGGCUGAAAAAGAAAAUCCAGGUCUCACACAAGACAUCAUUAUGAAAAUUUUAGAGAAAAAAAGCGUGGAAGUUAACUUCACGGAGUCCCUUCUUCGUAUGGCAGCUGAUGAUGUAGAAGAGUAUAUGAUUGAACGACCAGAGCCAGAAUUCCAAGACCUAAACGAAAAGGCACGAGCACUUAAACAAAUUCUCAGUAAGAUCCCAGAUGAGAUCAAUGACAGAGUGAGGUUUCUGCAGACAAUCAA